CCACUUUCUUGGGCUCUACGACUUCCUCUGCUUUGCUCUCUUCCUCCACAACCACCGGAGCUUCUUCCUCUUUCUUGAUCUCCUCCGUCUCUGUCUUGGUUUCCUCUGUUUCUUCGACAGGGAGGUCUUUAGUGGUUACUUCCACGGGAGCUUCUUCCUCUUUCUUGAUCUCUUCAGUUUCUGUUUUGGUUUCCUCUGGUUCUUCCACUGGGAGGUCUUUAGUGGUUACUUCGACGGGAGCGUCUUCCUCCUUCUUGGUUUCCUCUGCUUCUUCGGUUUGUUUCUCUGUUUCUUCCACGGGAGCUUCAGUUUCUGUUACCGGAGCUGGAGCAGACUCGGUCACAACGGCGGCGACGGUUUCCUCAGGCUCCACUGUCUUUGGUGGUGUCAUCUCGACGUGCUCAGCUGCGGCUGGAGUCACUUGUUCAACCUGCAAAACCAUUGUCACACAUAGAUCAAUUCAAAACUGUGUAACGUUUUUAUUUGAUAUAAUCACAGAAGAAAUGAUAUUUUCUAAUGAUGUUGAUCACGUAUAUAUUGUGUAAACUUAAGCAUCUAAGUGGAUUAAGACAAGUGAAAACAUUGAAUCUAGAAUUGGAUCGCUAAUCAAACUUUAGACUAAUGAGAAAUGGGUUUGCAAAAUUUAAGAACAUAUGUAUGCAUACAUCA
rnacentral:lncRNA from 1 species